rnacentral:rRNA from 1 species
UACGUAGGGGGCGAGCGUUGUCCGAAGUUACUGGGCGUAAAGCGCGCGUAGGCGGGGGGUUAAGUGAGAGGUGAAAGGCUGGGGCUCAACCUCAGUAGUGCCUCUCAUACUGGCCUUCUUGAGGGCGGUAGGGAGAAGUGGAAUGGCUGGUGUAGCGGUGAAAUGCGUAGAUAUCAGUCGGAACACCGGUGGCGAAGGCGGCUUCUUGGGCCGUUCCUGACGCUGAUGCGCGAAAGCUGGGGGAGCGAACGGG